AUGAACGCUGGCGGCGUGCUUAACACAUGCAAGUCGAACGAAGCAUUUAGAACAGAUUACUUCGGUUUGAAGUUCUUUAUGACUGAGUGGCGGACGGGUGAGUAACGCGUGGGUAACCUGCCUUGUACUGGGGGAUAGCAGCUGGAAACGGCUGGUAAUACCGCAUAAGCGCACAAUGUUGCAUGACAUGGUGUGAAAAACUCCGGUGGUAUAAGAUGGACCCGCGUCUGAUUAGCUAGUUGGUGAGAUAACAGCCCACCAAGGCGACGAUCAGUAGCCGACCUGAGAGGGUGACCGGCCACAUUGGGACUGAGACACGGCCCAGACUCCUACGGGAGGCAGCAGUGGGGAAUAUUGCACAAUGGAGGAAACUCUGAUGCAGCGACGCCGCGUGAGUGAAGAAGUAAUUCGUUAUGUAAAGCUCUAUCAGCAGGGAAGAUAGUGACGGUACCUGACUAAGAAGCUCCGGCUAAAUACGUG
rnacentral:rRNA from 1 species